CAGUAGGUGUUGGCUUGGGAUCAACCUUACGACACACUGUAACAAACACCCAGAUGAAGGAAGUAACGUUAUCGUAGACUGAACGUACAGGAAGGCUACAGCCGUGAUCAGAGCAUUGUGAGGAGUGUCCAUCUAGAGCACUGGGUGGCUGACCAGAGCAUUGUGAGGAGUGUCCAUCUAGAGCACUGGGUGGCUGCUCCAGCUUGCUUGUGUGUCAUCUAAAAGCUGUUUGUGGUAGUAGGCCAGGGUGAGGACCACAGCCAUGCAGACUGUCCUCCACACGAGUGAAGUGCUGUGUUUGGCCAGG